CGGGCGGGACGGGUAAGUAAUGUCUGGGAAACUGCCUGAUGGAGGGGGAUAACUACUGGAAACGGUAGCUAAUACCGCAUAACGUCGCAAGACCAAAGAGGGGGACCUUCGGGCCUCUUGCCAUCGGAUGUGCCCAGAUGGGAUUAGCUAGUAGGUGGGGUAACGGCUCACCUAGGCGACGAUCCCUAGCUGGUCUGAGAGGAUGACCAGCCACACUGGAACUGAGACACGGUCCAG
rnacentral:rRNA from 1 species